rnacentral:rRNA from 1 species
GACGAACGCUGGCGGCGUGCUUAACACAUGCAAGUCGAACGGAAAGGCCCUGCUUUUGUGGGGUGCUCGAGUGGCGAACGGGUGAGUAACACGUGAGUAACCUGCCCUUGACUUUGGGAUAACUUCAGGAAACUGGGGCUAAUACCGGAUAGGAGCUCCUGCUGCAUGGUGGGGGUUGGAAGGUUCGGCGGUUGGGGAUGGACUCGCGGCUUAUCAGCUUGUUGGUGGGGUAGUGGCUUACCAAGGCUUUGACGGGUAGCCGGCCUGAGAGGGUGACCGGCCACAUUGGGACUGAGAUACGGCCCAGACUCCUACGGGAGGCAGCAGUGGGGAAUAUUGCACAAUGGGCGGAAGCCUGAUGCAGCAACGCCGCGUGCGGGAUGACGGCCUUCGGGUUGUAAACCGCUUUCGCCUGUGACGAAGCGUGAGUGACGGUAAUGGGUAAAGAAGCACCGGCUAACUACGUG